rnacentral:rRNA from 1 species
ACCAGACUCCUACGGGAGGCAGCAGUGGGGGAUAUUGCACAAUGGGGGAAACCCUGAUGCAGCGACGCCGCGUGAGUGAAGAAGUAUUUCGGUAUGUAAAGCUCUAUCAGCAGGGAAGAAAAAAGACGGUACCUGACUAAGAAGCCCCGGCUAACUACGUGCCAGCAGCCGCGGUAAUACGUAGGGGGCAAGCGUUAUCCGGAUUUACUGGGUGUAAAGGGAGCGUAGACGGCAAUACAAGUCGGAAGUGAAAUACCCGGGCUCAACCUGGGAACUGCUUUGGAAACUGUAUGGCUGGAGUGCUGGAGAGGUAAGCGGAAUUCCUAGUGUAGCGGUGAAAUGCGUAGAUAUUAGGAGGAACACCAGUGGCGAAGGCGGCUUACUGGACUGUAACUGACGUUGAGGCUCGAAAGCGUGGGGAGCAAACAGGAUUAGAUACCCGAGUAUCG